rnacentral:rRNA from 1 species
CACGUAGGAGGCGAGCGUUGUCCGGAAUCAUUGGGCGUAAAGAGCGCGCAGGCGGCUUGGCAAGUCGGGUGUGAAAUCCCGGGGCUCAACCCCGUGACUGCAUUCGAUACUGUCAGGCUAGAGGUAGGUAGGGGAGAUCGGAAUUCCUGGUGUAGCGGUGAAAUGCGCAGAUAUCAGGAGGAACACCGGUGGCGAAGGCGGAUCUCUGGGCAGUAACUGACGCUGAGGAGCGAAAGCGUGGGGAGCAAACAGG